GAUGAACGCUGGCGGCGUGCCUAAUACAUGCAAGUCGAGCGAACAGACGAGGAGCUUGCUCCUCUGACGUUAGCGGCGGACGGGUGAGUAACACGUGGAUAACCUACCUAUAAGACUGGGAUAACUUCGGGAAACCGGAGCUAAUACCGGAUAAUAUAUUGAACCGCAUGGUUCAAUAGUGAAAGACGGUUUUGCUGUCACUUAUAGAUGGAUCCGCGCCGCAUUAGCUAGUUGGUAAGGUAACGGCUUACCAAGGCAACGAUGCGUAGCCGACCUGAGAGGGUGAUCGGCCACACUGGAACUGAGACACGGUCCAGACUCCUACGGGAGGCAGCAGUAGGGAAUCUUCCGCAAUGGGCGAAAGCCUGACGGAGCAACGCCGCGUGAGUGAUGAAGGUCUUCGGAUCGUAAAACUCUGUUAUUAGGGAAGUACAAAUGUGUAAGUAACUAUGCACGUCUUGACGGUACCUAAUCAGAAAGCCACGGCUAACUACGUG
rnacentral:rRNA from 1 species